GGACUGAUGGGAGCUUGCUCCCUGAAGUCAGCGGCGGACGGGUGAGUAACACGUGGGUAACCUGCCUGUAAGACUGGGAUAACUCCGGGAAACCGGGGCUAAUACCGGAUAGUUCUUUUCCUCGCAUGAGGAAAAGUGGAAAGGUGGCUUCGGCUACCACUUACAGAUGGACCCGCGGCGCAUUAGCUAGUUGGUGAGGUAACGGCUCACCAAGGCGACGAUGCGUAGCCGACCUGAGAGGGUGAUCGGCCACACUGGGACUGAGACACGGCCCAGACUCCUACGGGAGGCAGCAGUAGGGAAUCUUCCGCAAUGGACGAAAGUCUGACGGAGCAACGCCGCGUGAGUGAUGAAGGUUUUCGGAUCGUAAAGCUCUGUUGUUAGGGAAGAACAAGUGCCGUUCGAAUAGGGCGGCACCUUGACGGUACCUAACCAGAAAGCCACGGCUAACUACGUGCCAGCAGCCGCGGUAAUACGUAGGUGGCAAGCGUUGUCCGGAAUUAUUGGGCGUAAAGCGCGCGCAGGCGGUCUCUUAAGUCUGAUGUGAAAGCCCACGGCUCAACCGUGGAGGGUCAUUGGAAACUGGGGGACUUGA
rnacentral:rRNA from 1 species